CUACGGGUCGCACCAGUGGGGAAUAUUGCACAAUGGGCGCAAGCCUGAUGCAGCCAUGCCGCGUGUAUGAAGAAGGCCUUCGGGUUGUAAAGUACUUUCAGCGGGGAGGAAGGGAGUAAAGUUAAUACCUUUGCUCAUUGACGUUACCCGCAGAAGAAGCACCGGCUAACUCCGUGCCAGCAGCCGCGGUAAUACGGAGGGUGCAAGCGUUAAUCGGAAUUACUGGGCGUAAAGCGCACGCAGGCGGUUUGUUAAGUCAGAUGUGAAAUCCCCGGGCUCAACCUGGGAACUGCAUCUGCAUACUGGCAAGCUUGAGUCUCGUAGAGGGGGGUAGAAUUCCAGGUGUAGCGGUGAAAUGCGUAGAGAUCUGGAGGAAUACCGGUGGCGAAGGCGGCCCCCUGGACGAAGACUGACGCUCAGGUGCGAAAGCGUGGGGAGCAAACAGGAUUAGAUACCCGUGUAGUC
rnacentral:rRNA from 1 species